UGAGUAACACGUAGCUAACCUGCCCUCGAGUGGGGGAUAACCUGGGGAAACUCGGGCUAAUACCGCAUAACGUCCUGGUUGCGCGAGCAGCCGGGAUCAAAGGCCCGCAAGGGUCGCUUGGGGAGGGGGCUGCGGCCGAUUAGCUAGUUGGUGAGGUAACGGCCCACCAAGGCUAUGAUCGGUAGCCGGCCUGAGAGGGCGCACGGCCACACUGGCACUGAAACACGGGCCAG
rnacentral:rRNA from 1 species